rnacentral:rRNA from 1 species
CAUGGCUCAGAUUGAACGCUGGCGGCAGGCCUAACACAUGCAAGUCGAGCGGAAACGAGUUAACUGAACCUUCGGGGAACGUUAACGGCGUCGAGCGGCGGACGGGUGAGUAAUGCCUGGGAAAUUGCCCUGAUGUGGGGGAUAACCAUUGGAAACGAUGGCUAAUACCGCAUAAUAGCUUCGGCUCAAAGAGGGGGACCUUCGGGCCUCUCGCGUCAGGAUAUGCCCAGGUGGGAUUAGCUAGUUGGUGAGGUAAGGGCUCACCAAGGCGACGAUCCCUAGCUGGUCUGAGAGGAUGAUCAGCCACACUGGAACUGAGACACGGUCCAGACUCCUACGGGAGGCAGCAGUGGGGAAUAUUGCACAAUGGGCGCAAGCCUGAUGCAGCCAUGCCGCGUGUAUGAAGAAGGCCUUCGGGUUGUAAAGUACUUUCAGCAGUGAGGAAGGUGAUGUCGUUAAUAACUGCAUCA